UCAAUGUGACUUGCGAUUUUAUCCCGGAUGUACAGGUUUUGUCUGACGUCCUGGGAUAUCUUGAAUCAAUCGUUUCUGACUA
rnacentral:ribozyme from 1 species